rnacentral:rRNA from 1 species
UAGGGAGGGUGCAAGCGUUAUCCGGAAUCACUGGGUUUAAAGGGUGCGUAGGCGGCUAAAUAAGUCAGAGGUGAAAGCUUGCAGCUUAACUGCGAAAUUGCCUUUGAUACUGUAUAGCUUGAAAGGAGCUGAGGUCAGCAGAAUGUGGCAUGUAGCGGUGAAAUGCAUAGAUAUGCCAUAGAAUACCAAUUGCGAAGGCAGCUGGCUGGGCUUACUUUGACGCUGAGGCGCGAAAGCGUGGGGAGCAAACAGG